UGCCAGCAGCCGCGGUAAUACGAAGGGUGCUAGCGUUGUUCGGAAUUACUGGGCGUAAAGAGCAUGUAGGCGGAUUGGAAAGUUAGAGGUGAAAUCCCGGGGCUCAACCCCGGAAGUGCAUUGGAAACUGGCGAACUAGAGUGCAGGAGAGGCAAGUGGAAUUCCUAGUGUAGAGGUGAAAUUCGUAGAUAUUAGGAGGAACACCAGUGGUGAAGGCGACUUGCUGGACUGUAACUGACGCUGAGGCUCGAAAGCGUGGGGAGCGAACAGGAUUAGAUA
rnacentral:rRNA from 1 species